rnacentral:rRNA from 1 species
CUACGGGUCGCUGCAGUGGGGAAUAUUGCACAAUGGAGGGAACUCUGAUGCAGCAACGCCGCGUGGAGGAUGACACAUUUCGGUGCGUAAACUCCUUUUAUAUAAGAAGAUAAUGACGGUAUUAUAUGAAUAAGCACCGGCUAACUCCGUGCCAGCAGCCGCGGUAAUACGGGGGGUGCAAGCGUUACUCGGAAUCACUGGGCGUAAAGCGCAUGUAGGCUGGAUGACAAGUUGGAAGUGAAAUCCUAUGGCUUAACCAUAGAACUGCUUCCAAAACUGUCUUCCUAGAGUAUGGGAGAGGUAGAUGGAAUUUCUGGUGUAGGGGUAAAAUCCGUAGAGAUCAGAAGGAAUACCGAUUGCGAAGGCGAUCUACUGGAACAUUACUGACGCUCAGAUGCGAAAGCGUGGGGAGCAAACAGGAUUAGAUACCCCCGUAGUC